GUUUGAUCCUGGCUCAGGACGAACGCUGGCGGCGUGCCUAAUACAUGCAAGUCGAGCGCAGGAAGCCGUCUGAACCCUUCGGGGGGACGACGGUGGAAUGAGCGGCGGACGGGUGAGUAACACGUAAAGAACCUGCCCAUAGGUCUGGGAUAACCACGAGAAAUCGGGGCUAAUACCGGAUGUGUCAUCGGACCGCAUGGUCCGCUGAUGAAAGGCGCUCCGGCGUCGCCCAUGGAUGGCUUUGCGGUGCAUUAGCUAGUUGGUGGGGUAACGGCCCACCAAGGCGACGAUGCAUAGCCGACCUGAGAGGGUGAUCGGCCACACUGGGACUGAGACACGGCCCAGACUCCUACGGGAGGCAGCAGUAGGGAAUCUUCCACAAUGGACGAAAGUCUGAUGGAGCAACGCCGCGUGAACGAUGAAGGCUUUCGGGUCGUAAAGUUCUGUUGUAAGGGAAGAACAAGUGCCGCAGGCAAUGGCGGCACCUUGACGGUACCUUGCGAGAAAGCCACGGCUAACUACGUGCCAGCAGCCGCGGUAAUACGUAGGUGGCAAGCGUUGUCCGGAAUUAUUGGGCGUAAAGCGCGCGCAGGCGGCCUCUUAAGUCUGAUGUGAAAGCCCCCGGCUCAACCGGGGAGGGCCAUUGGAAACUGGGAGGCUUGAGUAUAGGAGAGAAGAGUGGAAUUCCACGUGUAGCGGUGAAAUGCGUAGAGAUGUGGAGGAACACCAGUGGCGAAGGCGACUCUUUGGCCUAUAACUGACGCUGAGGCGCGAAAGCGUGGGGAGCAAACAGGANUAGAUACCCUGGUAGUCCACGCCGUAAACGAUGAGUGCUAGGUGUUGGAGGGUUUCCGCCCUUCAGUGCUGAAGCUAACGCAUUANGCACUCCGCCUGGGGAGUACGGUCGCANGGCUGAAACUCAAAGGAAUUGACGGGG
rnacentral:rRNA from 1 species